rnacentral:misc_RNA from 1 species
AACGCAUAUUGCGCCCUUUGGUAUUCCGAAGGGCAUGCCUGUUCGAGCGUCAUUAUCAUUCAUCAAGCUAGGCUUGUUAUUGGACUUUUUUAUUUAAUCAGUCUUAAAAUUAUUAACAGAAUAAUUAAAUUUUUAAUACAACGAGCUUUUAGCAAGUAUUAAUAUUUAAUUAUUCUUGUUUAAAUAUUUCUUAGGUUGACCUCGAAUCAGGUAGGAAUACCCGCUGAACUUAA